GACGAACGCUGGCGGCGUGCUUAACACAUGCAAGUCGAGCGGUAAGGCCCUUUCGGGGGUACACGAGCGGCGAACGGGUGAGUAACACGUGGGUGACCUGCCCUCAGCUCUGGGAUAAGCCUGGGAAACCGGGUCUAAUACCGGAUAUGACUCCAUGACGCAUGUUGUGGGGUGGAAAGCCUUGUGCGGCUGAGGAUGGGCCCGCGGCCUAUCAGCUUGUUGGUGGGGUGAUGGCCUACCAAGGCGACGACGGGUAGCCGGCCUGAGAGGGCGACCGGCCACACUGGGACUGAGACACGGCCCAGACUCCUACGGGAGGGCAGCAGUGGGGAAUUGUUCGCAAUGGGCGCAAGCCUGACGACGCAACGCCGCGUGGAGGAUGAAGACCUU
rnacentral:rRNA from 1 species